UACCAGCUCUCCGAGUGGUAGGGAUGUUUAUUGGGCUUAAAGCGCCCGUAGCCGGCUUAGCAAGUCUCCUGUUAAAUUCAGCGACCUAAUCGUUGAGCCGCGGGAGAUACUACUAGGCUAGGAGGCGGGAGAGGUCAACGGUACUUCCGGGGUAGGGGUGAAAUCCUAUAAUCCCGGGAGGACCACCAGUGGCGAAGGCUGUUGACUAGAACGCGCUCGACGGUGAGGGACGAAAGCUGGGGGAGCGAACCGGAUUAGAUACCCGGGUAGUCCCAGCUGUAAACGAUGCGAGCUAGGUGUUGGGGUGGCUACGUGCCACUUCAGUGCCGCAGGGAAGCCAUUAAGCUCGCCGCCUGGGGAGUACGGCCGCAAGGCUGAAACUUAAAGGAAUUGGCGGGGGAGCACCACAAGGCGUGAAGCUUGCGGUUC
rnacentral:rRNA from 1 species